CCUACGGGAGGCAGCAGUGAGGAAUAUUGGUCAAUGGACGAGAGUCUGAACCAGCCAAGUAGCGUGAAGGAUGACUGCCCUAUGGGUUGUAAACUUCUUUUAUCUGGGAAUAAAAUGUUCCACGUGUGGGAUUUUGUAUGUACCAUAUGAAUAAGGAUCGGCUAACUCCGUGCCAGCAGCCGCGGUAAUACGGAGGAUCCGAGCGUUAUCCGGAUUUAUUGGGUUUAAAGGGAGCGUAGGUGGAUUGUUAAGUCAGGUGUGAAAGUUUGCGGCUCAACCGUAAAAGUGCAGUUGAAACUGGCAGUCUUGAGUACAGGAGAGGUGGGCGGAAUUCGCGGUGUAGCGGUGAAAUGCUUAGAUAUCACGAAGAACUCCGAUUGCGAAGGCAGUUCACUGGACUGCAACUGACACUGAGGCUCGAAAGUGUGGGUAUCAAACAGGAUUAGAUACCCUGGUAGUC
rnacentral:rRNA from 1 species